rnacentral:rRNA from 1 species
AGAGUUUGAUCUGGCUCAGAUUGAACGGCUGGCGGCGUGCCUAACACAUGCAAGUCGAGCGGUAGCAGGUGUAGCAAUACAUGCUGACGAGCGGCGGACGGGUGAGUAACGCUUGGGAAUCUGCCUGUUAUGGGGGACAACCAACCGAAAGGUUGGCUAAUACCGCAUACGCACUAAGGUGGAAAGCCGGGGACCGCAAGGCCUGGCGCUAACAGAUGAGCCCAAGUCGGAUUAGCUAGUUGGUAGGGGGUAAUGGCCUACCAAGGCGACGAUCCGUAACUGGUCUGAGAGGACGACCAGUCACACCGGAACUGAGACACGGUCCGGACUCCUACGGGAGGCAGCAGUGGGGAAUAUUGGACAAUGGGGGAAACCCUGAUCCAGCGACGCCGCGUGGGUGAAGAAGGCCUGCGGGUUGUAAAGCCCUUUCGGUUGGGAAGAAAAGUUGCGACCUAACACGUCGCGACCUUGACGUAACCAACUAAAGAAGCACCGGCUAACUCUGUG